GUGCUCACUUUGGCAGCACAUAUACUAACACUGGAAUGAUACAGAGAAGAUUAACAUGGCCCCUGUACAAGGAUGACACAAAAAUCUGUGAAGCAUUCAUUUUU